GACGAAGGGGGCUAGCGUUGUUCGGAAUUACUGGGCGUAAAGCGCGUGUAGGCGGUUGUUCAAGUUAGGUGUGAAAGCCUUGAGCUCAACUCAAGAAAUGCACUUGAUACUGGAUGACUAGAGGACCGGAGAGGAUAGUGGAAUUCCCAGUGUAGUGGUGAAAUACGUAGAGAUUGGGAAGAAACACCAGUGGCGAAGGCGGCUAUCUGGACGGUUUCUGACGCUAAGACGCGAAAGCGUGGGGAGCAAACAGG
rnacentral:rRNA from 1 species